GUGCUCACUUCGGCAGUACAUAUACUAAAAUUGGAACGAUACAGAGAAGAUUAACAUGGCCCACCCCUGUGCAAGGAUGACACGCAAAUUCAUGAAGAAUUCCAUAUUAAA
ensembl:snRNA U6 U6 spliceosomal RNA